AAGGAGUUUAGCAAAUAAUGCAAUUGGAAAAAAAAAUAAAUGAAUAUAUGGAAUUGAUUUUUUGUGCAUUGAGCCAUAUCGUGUUUUUGUGUCCAUGGUGGUUACCUCAGCUUAAGGAGUAAAGAGUUUUAAAAAAUGUAAGUGAAUGCAUUUCUAUUAAUAUUUCCAAAGCAAGGGUAUUUAGUACAUGUUAUUGACUAUUGAGCCACAUCUCUCUUUUUGUGCAUUGAGUCACAUCCUGUUUUUGUGUCUAUGGUGGUUACCUAAUAGAGAAGAUUUUAAAUUUUGAAUUCCCUAUUUGGUGGGAGAAUCAUGUUGAAAGUGGAAAUAUUAUUAAUCUGAAAUGAAUGGCCUUGGCUGAAGAGAUACUGCCUAUACUUAGAAAACUGAUCACUCUACCUCUGUAUGAUACCCUAUGGUACUACCAUUUGUUAUCUGUGACUGCUAAAUUAUGGAGCAGUUCUACUACAAAGAGUUAGUAAUGAAGUUUUCUGUGAUCAUUGAGGGCAGCCGACUGUAAAUAUUCAUUCAUUGGCUUCAUUUAAAAUACCACCAUAUUGCUUGGCGAUUUUCACCAGUCCCCGGUGAGUUAACUGGUCCAUCAUAUUCACUACUUGUCUGCACUUUGUGAUGGUAAAACAUUGAUUAGUGAACUAGGCUAUUUUGGUAUCGCUUUUCAUCAUCGUUCUUUAGCUAUAUUAGGUGUUGGUGGGGUGCAACAUGACGACAGCCCUCAUGGUACGUUCCUCGCCUCUGUAAGAAUAAAAGCAGACCUCCCCCCCUUCCCCUUCCUCCCUGUCCUAAAGCCAUCACUCACAUUCCAAAAACAGUGGUGAUAAGAGCAUCAACCAUGGCUAUUCCCAUCAAGGCCUCUCUUCUAGCUCUCAUUCUACUCCUCACUCCCUUGUCUUCAGGCAUGGCUGAGGGUUUCAAGGAUGGCACAAGCCCCAUUUACUUACUACACAAGGAUGGUACCCUGGUGAAUUCAAAGAAGCUUUUGAAGCUUGAUGCAGUGCUGGACUACGACUAUGCAGAAGCGAACCCCAAGCACGACCUGAGGAAGGGGAAGCCAGGUAAUGGUGGAGGUGGCAAGAACCCAUGACUCUGCUUAUCGUUUCGCUUUGAGCCCUAGUUAAAUAAUGACACUACUCUCUCAAUCUAGAGGGAUUUUUGAUCAUAUAUGAUGAGAUGUAGUAUAGGAUUCUAUAUGAGGUUGUUCAGUAGUAAUGUUAUAAAACUACUCUUGUGGAGGAGUUGUGAGAAUGGAAUGGCCUUAAAAAGAUGAUAUCUACAUUGUGUUUUUGUUUGUUCUCAUUGUAUGGUUCUAUUUUGGCUACUACUUGAAUAAAACAUGAAUGGGAUAGUCUUUGGGUAUCUCAUAAGAAAGAUGAAUAGCAGAAAGAGAGGAAAAACAGGAAAGAUUAGCACAAAAAAUUGAGAAGUUCAAGCAUUUAUCAUAUGUGGGAAUUGAUCUUCUAAUCUCUGCAUUGAGCACACAGAAUGAUGGAGAUUCUAGCAUCGAUGGCUGAUGUUAUGAAAUACCCAGAACGAUCAGUGUAGGAGCAGGAGCAGGAGAAGGGAAUGUACAGUUCCAUUCCUUCUCCUUCUUCUUCCUUUUCUUCUUCUUCUUCACUGAUCCUUCUGUAAUCAAGAGGUGUUUUGAGUUGAAUGCCAGUCUUUUUCAAAUGGUGAACACGGUUACAUGUAAAUGGAUGUGUAAGGGGCAUAAGAUCCAGAGAAAGGGGCCACCCCAGAAAUCUGGGUUGACAUUUUCUGAGGUCUUCCUUUGUCUGCUUUUCCAUAUUUCUUUGCUCCAAUGAUCACAUAUCUUGACCAGAAAGCCCCUUUCUGUGAAUUGGGGUUUUCAGGACAUGAAGCCAGAAAGUUAUGAUUAAUGCAUACACAGUGGUGGAAGUGAGGGACCAGGCCACUGACAUGUAGUGUUGGUGUAUUAUUAGGUUAUUUAGAUCCCCGUAACAAUUUUAUUUCAUCAAUCUUGGUUUAGGACUUUAUAUACUUUCAUGUCAUUUACUCUAUCUCUAAAGAUUCAAGGUUACCAUAAAAUUAUCCGAGUAUGAAUACUCCGGAUCAAUAGCUCCCAUUUCCUCCCCUCCACUUUCCCACGGUUUCUUCCCAACCAAACACACUAUUUCUGAGCUUCAACACUUCUUUUUUCUUGACGCUUCAAUCGGGUUUCGAUAUGAGAAGUGCGAAAGUUGGCGCUUAUUGCCCUUCCCCUGCUCCCACAUUGGUGGUUCUCGUUGUACUAUUGGUGGGUUCAGUGCAGUUCGUACAGUGCCAUAACGUGGAUGACUACAGCGAGUUUGAUGAUCCCGAGCUUCUUCCGUUGUUCACACAGCUUGGUUAUGGUCAGAUUUCCAAUAUGACUACAAUGCUGAGUGCGGAGUUUCAGAAGCGCUCCAAUUUCUGCGUUAAGGAUCUGGAUGCUGAUUGGAACCAGGCUUUUAAUCUUUCAUUUAAUUUGGACUUCUUGGCUUCUUUCAUCCAGAAAACUAAAGGUUUGUAUCAUUGCUGCUCAAGCUCUUACAACCUUGGCAAUCAGGACUGGUGAAUUUAGGUUAAAAGAUGAGUACUCUGGAUGCAACUCGAGCAGAACUUGCUCUUGUAAUUUUGUAUUUGAACAAACCUAAAGCUAGGGAGAAGAUAUGCAAGGCAAUACAAUAUGGUUUGAAAUUUUGGAGUGAUGGACAGCCUGGUACUGCCCAAAAUGUUGACAAAUCAACCAGCUUGGCACGAAAAGUUUUCCAUCUUUUUAAGUCUGUCAAUGACCUGCAUGCUCUUAUUAGUCCAGCUCCUCAAGGGACUCCUCUUCCACUUAGUUUGCUGGGAAAGAGGAACAGCUGGAGGACCGAUAGAGGAUAGGCUGGAAACUCGUGUACGUGGAUCAUGAGAAUGACGUGCUGCUAGUGGGGGAUGAUCCUUGGGAGAAGCUCAUGAUUGAAAUGAUCAGCCUUCCCUAGAAGGAUAAAAAUAUGAGGAGUUUGUGAAUUGGGUACACUGCAUCAAGAUCCUUUAUCCUCAAGAAGUCCAGCAGAUGAGGUUGGAUGGAGAUAUUGGUAACAGUUUACUUCACAAAGAAGUCUGUAACAGUGUACUUCUAGUUUCUCAUGGAUGAUUAGGGAAAGACAUGGACAUUCAUGUAAAGCUCAGUUUAUGGCAUUGUAUUAAUUUAUGUUUUACACACUGAUUUUCAAGACCCAAGACCCUAUUUCCAUUGAGAAAUGAUAUUUAAUAUUUCAAACA